UCAUCAAACCAAGACCUAUGUAAUGAGUUCAUACGGGCUCGAAACUCAAACGUUUUCUUUGAUUUCCAUUCAAUGGCGAGAAGCCGAAAGAUAACCAUGGGGAACGCCAUAUCAUUUAUUUUGAGAGUGAAGGAAAGAUUUCGAGGAAACAGAGAAAAGUAUGAACGUUUCCUUCAAACUGUCAAAGAUUUCAGGAACCAAAGAAUUGAUGUUAUGGAACUCUGUGCAACAGUAGCGAACUUGUUUCAAGGCCACCCAGAUCUUAUUUGGGAAUUCCUUAGUUUCCUGCCCACCAAGUAAUCACUUGAGAUCAUUCUUGAAACUUGGACCUCAAUGUUGUAAUUUUAGGGACGAAGGGAAAAUUAUUAUUGUAAUAUUUUAAUCUCUCAACAACCAAUAUUGUGCGUGCGAUCUUCUUCUUUCUGCAAAUUCCUUUUUCGCUCUGCAACUUAUGGCGUUUUCCACACUGCCCGUCUUCUUCUUCUCCGUUUUCGUCUUCAAAAUCAUCCCAAUUUCUUGUUCCUUACCCUUCACUGUACUCCACGAUGUUUGCAACAAGAUGAUAUAGAUCUCCAGCUGGUCUUUGCCUCAAUGGGAUUCCGACGUCUAUGUUGAUUUGCAUCUAGUUCAAUAUUAUCGCUACAGGUGAAGAAAACGAAGGAUCUAAAAAAGAACUUCAAUUUUGUUGGUCUCUCCCAGGUUAUAUCGUGGAUAAACGAAGUUACCUGUCUUUCACUUUCUAACAUUUUGAGGAUGAUGCUGUUCUGGUCCGAAUAUUAGCUGGAUGAAUAGUUUGAACUUGUUUACCCCCACAGCAGGUACUUGUUGACCAAUUGAAUAUCCUUGAGAUUUGCACAAGCAUUUGUUGGUUCCAUAGCAUUGGAGAAACAUGCACAUACAUGCACUAAUUAGGCACGGUAACAUUGUAUUAUGUUGGCAAACACAUACGACAUAACAUCUCUGGAUCUCGGUUUCAUUACAAAAUCCUAAAAGCACUAAUGAGGCUGUUAUUUAGAUUAGCUUGUAGCCUUACGAAGGAAUUAUGAAUGUCUUGUUACCAAAGUCCAUUCGAGUUCCUUGAAAAACCUCAAGACUCUCUCUGUCUUUAGCAAACUUUCCUUUUAGCUUUUUCUUUCCUGUGGAACAAGAUUGUAUGAGUAUGGAUUAACUUUCAACUGACCGACUUAUUUUCGUGCAUACGAGGAUUGGAUUGGAUCAAAUUGAGAAGCUUAGAUGAAGAUGGAAGAGUGAAAUUUAUAGAAGUUGCAUGAGGUCAUCUUGGAAUAUCUUAUAGUGACGCAAAAAAGUACAUUAUUGUGCCUUAUUUGGAGGAGAGGAGCAUCGAUCUUCUCAAUUUGAAAUGUUUCUUUGAGUUGAUCUUAGAGGAGAGAGUCAUUUCAAAGCUGCAAUCAAACACCUUCAACCCAACUCUUCUUUCCAUUUGUAUGUGUUUAAUAUUAUACUUUUAUACAAUUGGUGUCAAAACAAUAUUUUUUUUCAAUCUCUUCUUUUUUUUAAGCUACUCUAUAUUGCUAUUGAGACUCUGGGAUGGAUAUUUUGAAUUUUGGAUUUAUUGUCUAUUUUAAUUUUUCAAAA